rnacentral:rRNA from 1 species
UACAGAGGGUGCAAGCGUUGUUCGGAAUUAUUGGGCGUAAAGCGCGUGUAGGCGGCUUAGCAAGUUGGGUGUGAAAUCCCUCGGCUUAACCGAGGAAGUGCGCCCAAAACUACUAAGCUCGAGUACCGGAGAGGAUGGUGGAAUUCCUGGUGUAGAGGUGAAAUUCGUAGAUAUCAGGAGGAACACCGGUGGCGAAGGCGGCCAUCUGGACGGAUACUGACGCUGAGACGCGAAAGCGUGGGGAGCAAACAGGAUUAGAAA